rnacentral:rRNA from 1 species
GACGAACGCUGGCGGCGUGCCUAAUACAUGCAAGUCGAGCGAACCAAAUGAGAGCUUGCUCUCACGAGGUGAGCGGCGGACGGGUGAGUAACACGUGGGCAACCUGCCCUCAGUCUGGGAUAACAUCGAGAAAUCGGUGCUAAUACCGGAUGACCGAUUCCUCCACAUGGAGGAAUGGUAAAAGAUGGCCUUUGUGCGAUCGCUGAAGGAUGGGCCCGCGGCGCAUUAGCUAGUUGGUAAGGUAACGGCUUACCAAGGCGACGAUGCGUAGCCGACCUGAGAGGGUGAUCGGCCACACUGGGACGGAGACACGGCCCAGACUCCUACGGGAGGCAGCAGUAGGGAAUCUUCCGCAAUGGACGAAAGUCUGACGGAGCAACGCCGCAUGAGUGAAGAAGGUUUUCGGAUCGUAAAGCUCUGUUGUGAGGGAAGAACAAGUGCCGUGCGAAUAGAGCGGCACCUUGACGGUACCUCACCAGAAAGCCACGGCUAACUACGUGCCAGCCGCCGCAGUAA